rnacentral:rRNA from 1 species
UUUUCAAAUACUGGGAUUAGACCCCACUAUGCCUAACCGUAAACAAUUAACUCACACCAACCAACGCCAGGGAAUUACGAGCUAUGCUUAAAACCCAAAGGACUUGACGGUGUCCCACCCACCUAGAGGAGCCUGUUCUAUAAUCGAUGAUCCCCGAUACACCUAACCAUUCCUCGCCCAUCAGUCUGUAUACCUCCGUCGAAAGCCUACCAUGUGAACGCUUACAGUAGGCCCAAUGAUCCUCAUCAACACGUCAGGUCAAGGUGCAGCUUACGGAAUGGAAAGCAAUGGGCUACAAUUUCUAGUUUAGAACAAACGAAAGACUCUGUGAAACCUUAGUCACGAAGGCGGAUUUAGUAGUAAAAGGAAAAUAGAGUGUCCUUUAACCUGCUCUGC